rnacentral:rRNA from 1 species
UAGUCAUAUGCUUGUCUCAAAGAUUCCUUCAUGCAUGUCUAAGUAUAAGCAAUUAUACCGCGAAACUGCAAAGGGCUCAUUAUAUAAGUUAUCGUUUAUUUGAUAGUACCUUACUACUUGGAUAACCGGGGUAAUUCUAGAGCUAAUACAUGCUAAAAAUCCCGACUUCGGGAGGGAUGUAUUUAUUAAAUUAAAAACCAAUGCCCUUCGGGGCUCACUGGUGAUUCAUGAUAACUCCUCAAAUCGCAUGGCCUUGUGCCGGCAAUGGUUCAUUCAAAUUUCUUCCCUAUCAACUUUCGAUGUUUGGGUAUUGGCCAAACAUGGUUGCAACGGGUAACGGAGGGUUAGGGCUCGACCCCGGAAAAGGAGCCUGAAAAACGGCUACUACAUCCAAGGAAGGCAGCAGGCGCGCAAAUUACCCAAUCCCGACACGGGGAGGUAGUGACAAUAAAUACUGAUACAGGGCUCUUUUGGGUCUUGUAAUUGGAAUGAGUACAAUUUAAAUCCCUUAACGAGGAACAAUU